rnacentral:rRNA from 1 species
GACGAACGCGGCGGCGUGCCUAAUACAUGCAAGUAGAACGCUGAAGGGAGGAGCUUGCUCUUCUGGAUGAGUUGCGAACGGGUGAGUAACGCGUAGGUAACCUGCCUUGUAGCGGGGGAUAACUAUUGGAAACGAUAGCUAAUACCGCAUAACAAUGGAUGACCCAUGUCAUUUAUUUGAAAGGGGCAAAUGCUCCACUACAAGAUGGACCUGCGUUGUAUUAGCUAGUAGGUGAGGUAACGGCUCACCUAGGCGACGAUACAUAGCCGACCUGAGAGGGUGAUCGGCCACACUGGGACUGAGACACGGCCCAGACUCCUACGGGAGGCAGCAGUAGGGAAUCUUCGGCAAUGGGGGCAACCCUGACCGAGCAACGCCGCGUGAGUGAAGAAGGUUUUCGGAUCGUAAAGCUCUGUUGUAAGUCAAGAACGUGUGUGAGAGUGGAAGGUUCACACAGUGACGGAGCUACCAGAA